AAGGAUCAUUACCGAAUCCGAAAAACCUUAACACACCGUGAACCUGGUCGCGCAUUGGCGCGCACGUCUCCUUUCGGGGUUGCUGUUUGUCGGCAUCAAAUCGAAGUCGUCGUCGUCGUUUGUUCGUCGUCGAUUUUCGGGCCCCGGCUGGAGACUGCGCGUUCGGUGCGUGGGUUUUCUCACCGUGCCACGCCGUCGUGCGUGGUGCAGCCUGAAUUCUUUCUUAAACCAAGCAAAUUUGCAGACCGAACUGUGGGGCUUUCUUCCAGAAGAAAGCUUGUCUAAUGAUCAAAAUCAUGGACAACUUUCAACGGUGGAUCUCUUGGCUCGUGGAUCGAUGAAGAACGCAGCAAAACGCGAUAUGUAGUGUGAAUUGCAGAAUUCAGUGAAUCAUCGAAUCUUUGAACGCAAAUGGCGCUUCUGGGUAUUCCCAGGAGCAUGUCUGUCUCAGUGUUGUUUUCACCUCGAACGCGCUUCGGCGCGGUUGUCUUGAGGCGUCUGAGAGACUUGGCGGAGGCUUGGCCUUCGACUCGUUCCUCUCUCAGUCCCUUGAAAUUCAGUGGCCGAACGUUGUGCUGAUGCAUGGCCUCGGGUCGGUUCGCCCCGGAUCUGCUCGCACGGCUGAUCAGUUUCGUCUGUCGUCGUGUCGCAGCGGCCUGGGUGCACUUGACAUCGUGCUGGCUGCAAUCGUUCGAACAAAGCCAACUCUGGAAAACACACUUGCUAGCUCUCCUCUUGUGUUUCGACACAGUUGCGAGUUGCAAAACACC
rnacentral:rRNA from 1 species